rnacentral:rRNA from 1 species
GUGCACCAUUCGCGAAACUUUUACAAUGCGCGCAAGCGUGAUAGAGGGAUCUUGAGUGUUUCACUUUUUGUGAAACUUUUGCUAUCCUUAAAUAAGAUAGCGAAUAAGGACUGGGUAAGACUGGUGCCAGCAGCCGCGGUAAUACCAGCGGUCCGAGUGGGACUCACUUUUAUUGGGUCUAAAACAUCCGUAGCCGGUCUUGCAAGUUUCUUGUUAAAAUUUUUGGGCUUAACCCAAAAGCUGCAAGAAAUACUGACAAGGCUAGAGACGUGGGAGACGUAGUGAGUACGGCGAAGGGUAGUAAGUAAAAAUACGUUAAUCCUUGC